AUAGGUUCAGGCAGUUGGAGGUGCUGCAGCAGGUUACCACUGCAUUCUCAUCCCUGGUCGGUGGUGCGUCUACAGACUCCGUCUCCGAGAGCGGAGUUCCAGCUUUAGCUUCAGCCGGGGCCAGGGAGAAGAGGAAGAGAAUGGGCAUGCUGCUCCGCCGGGUCUCCAGAAAAACCCUCAGCCAAACCCAGUUUCAGACACAAAACCAGACCCAGGACUCCCAGGACACAAACCCCACUCCCCACAGUCCUGUAACCCACUUACCGCAGCCCCUGGCUGGCCUCCCUGACAGGCGGACCCCGCUGAAACGAGCCAGACAGGGCCUGGCUGAGAGUAUAUGUCUGACCCCGCUGGCAGAGGAGCAAGGCCUAGCCUCGGAAGCACCAGAGCCCCACUCGGUCCACCAGGAGGGUGCACUCUGGCUGGAGGUGGGGAAGGAGUAUCAACCCCUGAUCUCCAGUGGUAUUCCAACCAGAAAGAAAAGUCCUGGGGAGGCCAGGGAGUCCUUUGAGAUGGAGGAGAUCCAGAGCUUUGAUGAGGGCAGUAUUUCUGGGAGCUACAUGGGAGCAUCCGACACCACAGCAGUGUGUGUGAUGAGGACUAACAGCUGCCAGUCUGACAGCAGUGGCUUCCUGGAAGAGCCCUUCAUCCCUUCCAUUACCCAGCAUCCCUCACCUGGACCCGAGCUCAUGAAGGUUACACAGAUAACAUUCUAGAAGUGCAACAAUCUAGGCGUGUUACUUUAAGUUAUUGCUACUAAUUUAUAUACUUCACCAGCCCAAAUUAUUAAAAUAUAAUAUUGAAUUGAUAUUCUGUCUAUUUCAUGGUGCACAAUUUAAGAGGUCAUUCAUUAAUUUAAACUGACAGUGUUUGGUUGUUGUUUAAAGGCUUUGUCGGGAAUAUUUGGAGGCAGCACUGACAGCCAGAUCACUGCUUCACCCCCCUCGUCCCCCCCAUCCACUUCCCUGGACCCUUCCCCUCCUUCCCUCUCCAUGUGCCACCCAAGACCCGAGUCUCCUCUAUACAGACCAGAGACAACAAGCCCUACAGAGGAGACACCCAGACACCAGGAUUCCCCCACACCCCACUCCCUCUCUGAUGCCUUGGAGAUGACUAACUCUGCUUUUGGAGCCAGGCCAAGCCUAAUGGAAAACACUGUCACUGAGGAAGAUGGAUUCUCUUCGGCCUGCGGUUCACCUUGUCAUAAGCCAGACUCUCCGUUACGGCACGUUAUUAUUAUCAUGAAAACAGAUAGAGAAACAGAACACUUUACUGUGGAAUCAGAGGAAGCUGUUCCAAUAGGAGGAGAGGAAAAGGACAUAGCGGAACAAAGUGGCAAUGUUCAGACAGGAACAGAGGCUGUUGGUGAUCAGGACACCGAUUGUUAUGGGUCACAUGAAGGCUCUCGGAUGAACUCGGUAGCUCUGGUGCAGAUGAAGAAAGAGACAGAGAUGAAGACGAAAGUACAGAUUAGUUCUGGUUUGGAAGGUCCAGUGUUGGGUCCUGUUGCUGUUCCUGAGGUGGUGAAUCAAGGCUCUGAGACUGGAUCUGUUUGUCAGGACCGGUACUCUGAAGAUCCUCUAUUAGGAUCUGACCCUAACUUCUCAGCAGAGCCUCUCCCUGCCUCCUCUCUCCCCCCAGCAGAGCCUCUCCCUGCCUCCUCUCUCCCCCCAGCAGAGCCUCUCUCUGCCUCCCUCCCCCCAGUGCACUGGGAAACAGGUGGCUCAAAGAUUUCAGAGGGAUCCUCAAGCUUGGUUGUCCAAGAGCCUGUCCCACCACUAUAUCAACCAGCAGACCCAUCGACAGACCCACCUCCAGGCCCAGCUUUAACCUCACCUUCAGAGCAAGUGUCACCUCCAUCCCCACCACCAUCUCCAUCCCCAGCCUCGUGGCCACACCAACCUCCAGCCUCAGCUUUUCCGGCAGCAUCCAGCUCAUCUCCAACCCAAGCCCAUUCCCCAAUCCCAAACCAUUCUCUAUCAGCCCUAACCACAACACCAACCCCAUCCUCAAUUCCAAACUCGCCAUCAGCCCAUUCCUUAACCGUAGCUCCAUCUCAAGCCCCAACUCCACUCGUCCCCCACAGUGGUGCUUUCAGGUCAGGCCGGUCUGUGUCUGUCCAGAUGCCCUCCUCCCUGCCCUCUGUCUCCCACUCUGCCCUCCGGAGAGGUGGCGUCCCCCACACCCCCUCCCCGCUCGGCCCUUCCUUCGAGCCCCGCCCCCUGACUGACCUGACGCUCCGGCAGAGGCGGAACUCCUUCUCCAGGAAGGCGUGGUCAGAUGCUGAUGUCUCCCACUUUGCAGAACACAGAAACACUGCGGUUGCCAUGGGAAAGGCAGUCAUGACACCUGAGAUGAUAUCCCUCCUGUCCCCCGUCCCCUCCCUGUCAUCGUCCAAUCGGUGGCUGUCUCGCGACGGUUCACGAAGAUCCGGAAGUUUCCAGAUGAAGUCCACCUCCUUGGACACGGGGCUGUGGCAGGAGGAAGAGGGGGAUGAAGUGGGGGAUGAGGAUAGACGGUGGGAACGAGCCCUGUUCUCUGGGCUUUCCUGCUGCUGCUCCUGUGAUAACCGCUGUAGCUGCUGUUCUCAGAACAAUCACCUCAAACCAUCCUCCGUUUCAGCUUUCCCUUAUUCCCUGGAUGAGCUGGAGGGGAUGAUGCACUGUAUGAGGAAGUUCCGCUGCGUCCUGACAGACAUCGAGGAACAGCUGUCAGAAGACCAGGCCUCGGUGUACAGCUCACUCUCUGACACUGACAGAGAUGAAGUGCGAGACAUCUUGGAGCUGAGGAAAGCUGUGAAACAGGAAGCAGGAGAGUUGGAACUGCAGCUCACUGACCUGGUUCAUCGCUAUGACGACAGCUUCAAAAUGAAGAUGCACAGACUACUCGAUGAACAAUCUCACCUCUACACCCAGCUAAGGCUCCUCCCCCUGAUCCCCAAGACCACCCCUGGCUCCGCCUCCUCUAGGAGCAUGGCCACUCAGUGCUGCCUGCUGCCCUGGCUGCCUUUGACGGACAUGUCCAGGCCACACCCCUCACCGCAGGCCACCUGGGAUUUGGAGUCCAGAUCAGCUCUGCCAGAUUCCAGUUCUAUGGGCCAGAGACUAAACCAUGGUUCUACCGGCACCAAGCCAGACAAACUGGACAUUGUGGGUUUCAUCCAGAGACUGAAGGAGUCCAUACGCCACUCUGUCAAUACUGACUCACUGGAGUAA
rnacentral:lncRNA from 8 species